UGGCAUGUCAUACUUGCAAGAGCAACAUGUCAUAAAGGUCUAGAGAAUGUAACCGACUUGUCAUUCUGAAUUGCAAACCCAGAUUUGAGCUUGAUCCUUCGACAAAAAAUGACCCAGAAAUGGCUUAGUGGAAGUAUAUCUAAAAUGGCAAAAAUCAUAAAAGAUAUUGAUCCGAGAAAUUGGUUAUUCCUAUGCUAUAUAUGUCUCUACUACCUGGUACAUUGAGAGUUGCAGUGAAAACUAUUGUGAUUAUGAGUGCAACAAUUGAGCAACAUGAAACUGAAGAUGGUUUAUCAAUAUGUCAUGAUAAAAAUAUGGAUAAACUUUAGAGAGGUAAAACAUAAAAUAGACUAAAUUAACCCCCUUCUUUUGAGUAAAGCCUUUAGGUUCAACACCUAAUAUUCCCUCUUUAACCUUAUAAAUAGACUUACACCAUUCUACUUUCUCAUUUGCAAGCCUCUCUAUUGGAUCCCAAGUAUGGUUUCUGAUCAAUGACUACAUUUCCUCAUCCAUGGCUUCCUACCAUUUUUAUUAUCUAUCACUUUUAGCAGCCUCUAAGUAAGUUUUUUUUAUCAAUUUCAACCUCAUGUACUGUUGUUAAUGCAAAUGUAAUUGGAUCUGCACAUGCAUACCUCUUAGGUUGCUUUAUUACCUUUUUUCUCUCUAUCUCUCACCAGUUAAUAGUCUCUAAUUUCUUGAUCACCUGUUUGCUCAUCUUUUGAUUUAGAAAUGUCCAUAUCAGAUCCUGAUUCAUGUUCAACUCUUUGUUUUCGCUUUGCAUUAGAAGCAAACAAUUCCGCCCUAAAAUGAGUCUUCUAAUCUCUCACAUUGGGCUCUGUGAUAUCAGGUUUACAAUGAGUUAAGUUUUGAAGCAUCUCAAACUCAUUAAACACAACGGCUCUACUGAUAAUAGCUCUUAUUGACUUUAAAUUAGUGCACUAGAUAGCCAACAAAUACACACUUUAAGCCCUAUGUUCUAGCUUUCCUUGCUUAGUGUGUGAAUAUGAAGGCAAACCAAAGACCCUCAAACCAGAAUAGCCUAUUGAUCUACCAAACUAAAGCUCAAUAAGUGUUUUAAAUCAAUUCCAGAUGAGGGGCUUCUAUUCAGCAUAUAGCAAGCUGUAGAUAGCUGUAGAUAAAGCUUUUGCUCAUGAUGUCAUCGAUAACUUUGAAUGAAUAAGCAUGUAUCUUACCUUAUCAAUCAAAGUUCUAUUUCAUCUUUUCAGCUAAUCCAUUCUACUGAGGUAUGUAUCUCAUUAUUGUGUGUCUCACAAUCCCAUGCUCAACACAAUAGCCAUCUAACCUCUUAUUACAAAACUCCAGAUCAUUAUAAGUCCCCAACCUCCAAACCUUUCUAUUUGUUUAAUUCUCAACUAAUACUUUCCAAGCCGUGAACUAUUCAAACACAUCAUCCUGUUAGCCUAAAGGGCUAUAUAUAAUGUAAUUUUGAUGAUAACAAACAUGUGUAUUAAGUGAUUUAAUAAAUAUUGUAUUUUACAUUUUCACUAGUUUUUUAAGGGUAAUAUUUAUGCAAGUGAGUCAAGUGAAAUCGAGCUCAAGACACUCAACGGACAAUGGAAAAAUCAAGAAUAAAGUUUAAAGCUCAACGGACAAAUUAUUGCGAUAAAUUCUUGUAAAGUCAAUAUGAUUUAAUUGAUGCAUGAUUUAGCAUUUGAGAAGCUCGAGAUUAAUUUAAUUAAUUACUUUUCAUAAGCUAAAAGGUUUUAUUUUUAUAAGAUAAAGUAUUUUGGUGUUUUGAGUAUUUUGGACUUAAAUGGAAAGUUUUGCAAUCUUUGUUUUUAAUAAGUAUUAUCUUGAAUUCCGGAGUUGGACCUUUUUGUAAAUAUGAGAAAUGUUUUAGGCCAUACUAUAAUUUAUGAAUAUUUUGGACUAAAGUGAAAAGUUGUGAGAACUUUGAAAAAUAUGGGUAUUAUGUUAAAUUUUGAAAAAGGAUCUCUUUGAGAAAUAGUAAUAUAUUUGGGGCCAUAGCAUAAUUUCAGAAAGUUUUGGAAAGACAACUAUUAUUAGGAAAUAGGGAUGGCAAUGGGGCGGGGUGGGGGUGGGGAUGCCUACCCCAUUCCCCACCCCAUUAAAAAUUUUUGCCUCCAUUCCCCACCCCAUUCCCCAAUAAAUUUAGUGGGUUGGGGAUGGGGAAUCCCCACGUGGGGAAUGAUUCCCCCAUCCCCACCCCAUUCCCCAUUUACAUAUUUUAUAGUAGAUAUAAAAAUAUGAUUUCAGUAAAUUAAAAAUUAGAGACUUAAGAUAAAAUCAUCACAAUAUUAUAAAGUAUUUAAUUUUUUUAAAAAAAUCUCUAAAAAAUUGAAACAAUAUCUUAAAAUGAUAUUAAAAGUGAAAAAUAUUUAAAGAAAGCAGCACCUUAAAAGAGAAAAGAAAAUAUAUUAAUGUUUUAAAGUUGAAAAAUAUUGUAGAAUUUUCUUUUAUUCAUAUUCUAUUUAUAUUACAUAAAAAUUAAAAAAAGUUAUUAAUUGACAUUAUAGUUGAUAAAAUACAAAUUAUUAAAUAAGAAUUAAAAACAUAUUUAUAUAUAAUGGGGAUUGGGGUGGGAGUGGGGUGGGGAGUGCAAUACCAAACCCCACCCCGUUAACAAUUUGGGGAUUACUUUUCCCCCACUCCCCACCCCAUUCCCCAAAAAUUAUUAAAAAAUUUCCCCAUUUGGGGUGGGGCUCCAUGGGGCCCCAAACCCGUGGAGGAUUUUGCCAUCCCUAUUAGGAAAUUCUGAAAUUGGACCUAUUUGCAAAGUUUUAUGACAUUUUGGGCCAUAGUAGCAAAAUUCAAAAAUAACGGUAAUAUCACUGUUACAAGCGGCUAGCCGGAUAAAUCAAGUGGCUAACUGCUUGGUUGCUGGAAUUUGCCUAUGACGCUAGUUUCGGGUUUUUACUAUAAAAACUCAACUUCAACUUCAUUUUAAGAAUUAAUGCAAGCAAAAAUAAGAUCAUAUAAUAUAUAUUGAGCUUCCAAAAUACAAAUCAUCAUAGAUUGAAUCAUUGUUGAGCUAUUAUUUGUAUAUCCACUCUUAAAGAGAGUUUUUGUUGUAAUUUUCAUUUCUUAUCAAAUUGUGAGUGUACAAGUGUGAGAAACACUUGGGGUGAAGAGAUUGGAGAGAUAAUCUCUUGAUUAUUAAGGUUCAUUUACACCUUGGAAGUCAAUUAUAAGAACUUGAAGCCUUGGGAGGCUUGGAUAGUGAAAUCCUCGAGCUUGGUUGGCUUGGAGGCAUGGACGUAGGCGGGGAUUGCCGAACCACGUAAAAAUCCGUGUGUUUGUUUUUCUCUUCCCUCACUCUUUUAUUUUUAUGCCUUUUUGAAUUUAUUGUUUUCUAUUCCAUUAAGGCGUUAGAUUAAUUUGUUGUGCGAAUUGUAUUGCAUAAUUUUUAAAAACUCAAUUCACCCCCCUCUUGGGUUGCGUAACUUGCAUUUCAUUUGGUAUCAGAGCUUGGUUAUCUUGUUAGGACUUAACCAUCUAGAGUAAAAGAUCCAUGGCAACCCAAAAUGAUUCAACCUUUAGGGAAGAACAAUCCACAACUAGACCACCGUUCUUUGACGGAAAUGACUAUCCAUAUUCGAAAACUAAGAUGAGAAUUGAUUUACAAGCACUAGAUUAUGAAAUUUGGGAAGUUGUAUGUGAUGGACCAUUUAUGCCCUUGACUAAAUAUGAAGUCGGGGAAGAUAUUCCAAAACCUUCACGGGAAUGGAAUGAAUUGGAAAAGAGAAAAGUUUCUCUAAAUUCCAAAGUUAUAAAUGCCUUGUUUUGUGCACUAAAUAAGAAAGAGUUUCAUAGAGUGUCUGGUUGUGAAAGUGCUAAUGAAAUUUGGCACAAAUUUAAAGUUGUUUAUGAAGGUACGAAUCAAGUGAAAGAGUCCAAAAUUAGUAGGUACACUCGACAAUAUGAAUUGUUUCAAAUGGAACAAAAUGAGAGUGUGUAUUCUAUGUAUACUAGAUUUACGGACAUAGUGAACACUCUAGGAGCCCUAGGAAAGACCUUUUCAAAUAGCGAGAAAGUUAAGAAAAUCAUUAGAUCGCUACCUAAAGAAUGGAGACCAAAACGGACUGCCAUUGAGGAAGUCAAAGAUUUGAAUAUCUUACCUAUUGAUGAUUUAAUUGGUUAUCUUAUUUCUUAUGAGGAAGAUUUAGUAGUCGAAAGAGGAAAUGAGGAAAAGAAGAAAAAUAUUGCUCUCAAAGCCACAAAAUAUGAGAGUGAUGGGGAAAGUGAGUCGGAUGAUGAGGAGUUGGCUAUGCUAGCAAGGAGGUUCAGAAAAUUUUUUAAGAAAACCGGUGACCGAAGAAAAUAUAGAAACCUCAAGAACCAAAAGGAGAAGAAAGAGGUAAUCAUAUGCUAUGAAUGUAAAAAGCCUGGCCAUAUAAGAUCGGAAUGCCCACUUUUCAACAAACUCAAGAAGAAAGCUAUGGUUGCUACUUGUGAUGAGAGCGAUGAAGAUUCAAGUGAUGAAGAAGAGUCGCAAGAAGUAUCAAACCUAACACUUAUGGCAAUAGUAGAUUAUGAUGAUCUCAAUGAGGUAAGUGAUCCAACCUAUGAUGAAUUGUAUGAUGCUUUCAAAGAAAUGCUUGAUGAGUUGAUGAAAAUUGGUAAAAAGAAUGCAUGCCUUAAAAAGAAAUUGUUAGAACUUACAAAUGAAAAGGAUGCCAUGCAAAAAUGCAAUGAUUAAUUGAAUGAGAAGAUUAAAGGAUUAGAAUUAGAGAAUAAAACCUUGCAUAAUAUAAUUGCAUUAUCAAAUGAGAAACCAAGUACUUCACAUGAGUAUUUAGAGCUGCAUGUAGAUGAUUUGAAAAAGGAAAAUGAAAUACUCAAGAAAAAGAACAUUGAACUUAAUAACGUCAUGUUAAAAUUCACAAAUGGGCAAAAGAUGUUGGAUAACAUGCUUAACUCUCAAAAAUGUGUAUUUGAUAAAGGAGGACUUGGGUAUAAGCCUAAUUUGAAGCAAAAGUAUUAUAAGAAUUAUUUUGUUAAAGCUACCUCCACAAGUGAUCAUAAAAUUGUUUGUCAUUAUUGCAAUCAAAAUGGUCACGUGAAAUAUAGAUGUCCCGUGAAAAGAAAUGCAUAUUAUGGUGUCAAAUGCAUUUGGGUUCCAAAAGGAACCGUUGCUAACGCUUAAGGACCCAAAAAGAUUUGGAUACCUAAGACAUAAGAUUUUCCUUGCAGGGCUUGAAGAAGAAGAAAAAUAAAUGGUAUUUGGAUAGCGGUUGUUCUAGGCAUAUGACCGGAAACUAUGCACGGUUCUCAAGUUUCACCAAAAUCGAAAAUGGUGGAGAUAUAUCCUUUGGAGACAACUCAAAAGAAAAAAAUUCUCGGAAUUGGUAAUAUUGGUAAAGUUUCCUCAACUUUAAUUGAAAAUAUGUGUUUGGUUGAAAAUUUGAAACACAAGUUUGUUUUUGUUAAAUCAAGAUGUGUUAUUGAGAAUGCAUGUGAUGGGAAAAUUUUGUUUAUAAGAAAUAGAUGUGGUAAUGUUUACACAAUUGAUAUAGAAUGUGCAUCUACUCAUGAUAAAUGUUUUUUGGCACUGCAUGAUGAUGGUUGAUUAUGGCAUAGAAGACUAGCACAUGCAAGCAUGGAUUUGAUUUCAAAAAUUUCGAAAAAUGAUUUAGUUAAAGGUCUUCCAAAAAUCGGUUUUCAAAAGGAUAGAAUUUGUGAAGCUUGUCAAUUUGGAAAACAAAUCAAAACUUCUUUAAAAAACAAGAAUCAUAUCUCUACUUCAAAACCACUUCAAUUACUUCACAUAGAUUUAUUUGGACCUUCUAGAUAUGCUAGUUUAAGUGGCAAUUAUUAUGCAUUUGUGACUGUAGAUGAUUAUUCUAGAUACACAUGGGUAUUAUUCUUAGCUAAUAAGGCUGAUGCCAUUGAUGCAUUUAGAAUUUUCUCUAAAAAUGUUUAAAAUGAAAAAGGUUAUUCUAUUCUUGUAUUAGAAGCGAUCAUGGUGGAGAAUUUGAACAUCAUACAUUUGAAAUUUUUUGUAAUGAUUUUGGCAUUGAGCAUCAAUUUUCAUCACCUAGGACUCCACAACAAAAUGGGGUUGUUGAGAGAAAGAAUAGGUCUAUUCAAGAAAUGGAUAGGACCAUGUUGAAUGAAAAUACAUUACCAAAAUAUUUUUGGGCCGAAGCCGUCAACACCGCUUGUUAUGUUUUAAAUCGGGUGUUGAUUAGACCUCAUCUCAAUAAAACUCCUUAUGAGCUUUGGAAAGAUAGAAAACCCAACAUUAGUUAUUUCAAAGUUUUUGGAUGCAAAUGUUUUAUUUUGAACAAAAAAGAUAAUCUUGGUAAAUUUGAUCCAAAAUCUGAUGUUGGCAUCUUUAUGAGGUAUUCAAACUCAAGCAAAGCUUAUAGAGUUUAUAACAAAAGAACUUUAGUUGUGGAAGAAUCCAUGCAUGUUACAUUUGAUGAAUUUAACCCCGCGUCUGCGGAGAAAAGAGUUGUUAAUGAUGAUGCAGAUGGAGAGUUACGAGAAGAAUCAUCAAAAGAUAAACAAGAGAAUGCACCACAAGAAAAUCAAGAGGAUAUACAAGAAGAACAAACAAAUAUGGAGCAACAAAAAGGUAUUUCUCAAACACUCCCCAAGGAGUGGAGGUAUGUUUCCUCUCAUCCUAAGGAUUUAAUCUUAGGUGAUCCUUCAAGAGGUAUUACAACUAGAUCAUCACUUAGAAACACAUGUGAGCAUGCUGCAUUUAUUUCUCAAAUUGAACCAAAAUCUUUUGCGGAUGCAGAAAAUGAUGAGUUUUGGAUUAUGGCAAUGCAAGAGGAGUUAAAUCAAUUUGAGAGAAAUAAAGUGUGGGAAUUGGUUCCUAAACCGAAACAUCAAUCUAUUAUAGGCACUAAAUGGGUAUUUAGAAAUAAAAUGGAUAAAUCCGGUGUGGUUGUAAGAAAUAAAGCUAGAUUAAUGGCUCAAGGAUACAACCAAGAAGAAAGAAUCGAUUUUGAUGAAACCUUUGCACCUGUAGCUAGAUUAGAAUCCAUUAGGAUGUUGUUAGCAUUUGCAUGUCAUAAAGAUUUUAUUUUAUUUCAAAUGGAUCUCAAGAGUGUUUUCUUAAAUGGAUAUAUUUAGGAGGAAGUUUAUGUGAAACAACCCCUUGGUUUUGAAAAUGAAAAAUUUCCAAAUCAUGUUUAUAAGUUAUCAAAAGCAUUGUAUGGAUUAAAACAAGCACCUAGAGCAUGGUAUGAUAGGCUUAAAAAUUUAUUGUUGGAUAACGGUUUUUCGAUGGGAAAAGCGGAUACUAUCCUUUUUAUUAAGAAUAAAAAUCAAGAUAUACUUGUUGUUCAAAUUUAUGUUGAUGAUAUUAUUUUUGGUUCUACUAAUAAAUCUUUGUGCAAAGAGUUUUCCUAUUGUAUGAGUAAGGAAUUUGAGAUGAGCAUAAUGGGAGAAUUGAAGUAUUUCCUUGGACUUCAAAUCAAACAAAACAAUGAGGGGAUCUUCAUCAACUAAGCUAAGUAUGUCAAAGACUUACUCAAGAGAUUUGGCAUUGAUGAAUCAAAUACCAAGAAUACUCCAAUGAGCACAACAAUCAAGCUUGAUAAAGAUGAAAAAGGUAAAGAGGUUGAUAUUAAAAAGUAUCGAGAUAUGAUUGGAUCUUUACUUUACUUAACCGCAAGUAGACCCGAUAUCAUGUUUAGUGUAUGUUUGUGUGCAAGAUUUCAAUCAUGUCCUAAGGAAUCUCAUUUGCUUGCUGUUAAAAGAAUUUUUCGUUAUUUGAGUGGAACCAUAGAUCUUGGCUUUUGGUAUCCUAGAGGAACUCAUAUAGAUUUAACUUGUUAUUCGGAUGCCGAUUUUGCUGGUUACAAGGUCGAUAGGAAAAGUACUAGUGGAACUUCCUAUUUUCUAGGUCAUUCACUUGUUUCAUGGUUUAGCAAGAAAUAAAAUUCGGUUGCACUCUCAACUACUGAGGCGGAAUAUAUUGCCGCAGGUAGUUGUUGUGCACAAGCACUUUGGAUGAAACAAACACUUAGAGACUAUGGUAUUAAUCUUGAACAAAUUCCUAUCAAGUGUGAUAAUACUAGCGCCAUAAAUCUUUCAAAGAAUCCCAUUCAGGACUCUAGAACCAAGCAUAUAGAGAUUAGACAUCAUUUCUUGAGAGAUCAUGUACAAAAGGGUGAUAUUGCAUUAGAAUUUAUCUCUACGGAAAACGACUUGCCGAUAUUUUUACAAAACCCCUUUGCGAAGAACAAUUUUCAAAAAUUCGGCAUGAACUUGGGAUGAUGAAAUUUUUGCAUUAACAUCUCUAUUUAUGUUAUUGAAUCUAUUAAAAUUGUUUGCUUGAUGAUUGUUGAUGUUUAUGAAGUGUUUGAGCAUGUUAGAUAUAUGAGGUGUUUGAUUUAUUAAUUUUUGAAUGCUUAUGUGCUUCAUGAAUAUAUGCUUGUUGGAUGGAUUAUUUAUUUGAAUUAAUCAUCUUUUGAAUGUUUAAAAUCAUGAUUCAUGCAUUAAAUUGGCUCUUGAGAUGCUUCGGGAUCACAAAAUGAUCACGGAAUUGAUCAAAACUAGCCGGAAAGCAACUAUUGUGCAGAUGGACAGCAACCAGGCGGCUAGCCGCUUGGAGACUGUCCCAAACCCGAGAGCAAGCGACCCCCAAGCGGCUAGCCGCUUGGUCACGGGUUUUAUGCUUCUGCUUCUUCGUUUGUUAUUUUUCUGCACUUGUUAUUCUUCUCUCAUCAAAACCGUGAAACACCUCUCCAUUUUCACUCAAUUUUUCUUCAUUUCUCACCCAUUUUAAUGCCCAAAUCAAUCAUUCAAACUAAUACCCAUGCUUUUAACCUUCAUUAAACACUUCUAAUCAUCAUUUUCUCACUUGUUCUUCAUAUUUCAUUAUCAUCUCUCUCACGCGUGAAUAGUGCCUCUCCAUUUUCUUUCUCAAAUCUCUUCAUCUGUCACUCAUUUUCUUGUUAAAAUCAAUCACUCAAAUCAUUAUCCAUCUAUUACUCCUUCAAUUUUCACUCUCAAAACAACAUUUCAUCAACUCUCCACAUAAAAUCCAAAAUCAAAUCUCACUCUACCCGUUUCUCUCUCUUCAUUUUCAAGCUUCCUUUAGCCCAUUUUUAAUUCAAUCUACAUCAUAAAUUAGUUUCAUUCAUCUCUAUGAUUAAUUUUCUUGCCUCAAACAAAUCCACUUCACUCAAAUUUUUUAAAACCCGAAAUUGCAUUUUUAAGCUUAUUUUUCUUCCAACAAUGGCGGGUGGUGACAAGUCCAAGGGAAAACACGUGGCCAAGAAGCGUAAGGAAGAUCAUGGCGACUAUUCGGAGUUUAUUUUGACUCAUUUUCCAUGACCCCUGCUUCGGAAACGUUUUCUCGACAAUUUCAUGCCAAGGUCGGUCAUUACUCAUUUUUUUGUCAAUCUUAGUAAUAUGGAGAAUUUAGAAAUUUGUGAUAAAUCUCUUAAAGAUUUUCUUAUUACUAAGGGAUGGAAGAAUGUAUUGGUUGUUAAGGAGCAUUAUUAUGAAAAUUUAGUCAAUGUUUUUUAUUCGAAUAUGGAUACGGAAGUUUCGAAUAGAAUUGUUACUAAUGUUGGGGGAGUUCAUAUUGAAUUUGAUGUUGCUUUGUUAAAUUCUAUCCUUGGAACUCCAAAUGAGGGAUUGGAACUAUAUAGUGCUUGAGCCAAAAUAAAUUAUCCUUGGUUUUCACUUGAGAAUGUUGUUCGAAAAAUUUGUCGACGACGUGAUUUGUCCUCUGCGUUUUGUCAAUCACCUUUGAUAUCUCAAGCCUUACCUCUUCAAACUAGAAUCCUUCAUUAUGUUCUUCAUCAUGUUAUAACUCUUAAGUCUGGACAUGCGGAUGAAGUUAACCGUUUAGAUGUAGCCAUAUUGGACUGUAUUUUAGAGGAGAGGGUGUUAAAUAUUGGUUAUAUUAUCCUUCAUCAUAUGCUUAGCACUCCCUGUUUAGCCAAAAGAUCCCUUCCUUAUGUUAGUAUUAUUACCCUUAUUCUCCAGUAUUUCUGAGUCCCUAUAACCGAGCCAGUCUUCUUGAAUUCGAGGGAAUUAGGCGAUGAAGCAAUCGCUAAUUUGGGAUUUUAUUGGAGGAACAAUAGAUGGUAUAAAGAUAAGAGAAAUAAAAAGGUUACUGAUAUUGCUCCUACAGAUCAUCGUUUCUUUAACGAUGUCCUUCCACCACACUUGCUUCCUGAUCUCAGUGCUCCAUAUUGCUCACAUCCACCACCUUAUGAGGGCCCUUCCCACUCUACUUCACCUGACUCUGAGGAUCCAUUGUAGCAGCUGUUAACUAAAGUGGAUUCACUUUCUGAGCGGCAAGGCAAACUUCAAUCUCAGCUUGAAGCUUUUCAACUUCAGUCUAUUUCCGAGCAAGAGCGUCUCUUUGAGCAGCAGCAGCGCCUCUUUGUUCAACAGCAAUAGCUUCUUGAUGGCCAGCAGUAACUUUUUGCCACUCUUGGAUUUCCAUCACCAUCCUCUUCAUCACAUCCACCAUCUCUACAUGCAUUAUUGUUUUUAAUUUACGGAUGAUAUAUUGUUAUUUGAUAUUUGGAUAUGUUAUGUUUGGUGGUUGUUGUUUGUUCUAAAUUCUUGGCUUGCUAUAAUAUUUUAGUUACUGCAUGCUUAAUUUAUAUAUCUUUCUUUGAGAUGUUCCUUUUUUAUAUAAGUAUGGUUUUAUUGUAAUUUUGAUGAUGAAGGGGGAGAAGUCAUGUAUUUUUGAAUUCGGAGAUAGGUAUAGGUAAUAUGUAUUUUGGAUCUUAAAGUUUUUGUGCAUAUUUUUGAAAUAUUCAGGGGGAGUUUUUGUUUUCAAUUUGAUUUAUAUGUUGAAUUUUUUAUGCCAUGUAUUAAGGGGGAGGUAUAAAUGUAAAAAUACAUGAGAUGUUUGUCAUCAUAAAAAAGGGGGAGAUUGUUAGCCUAAAGGGCUAUACAUAAUGUAAUUUUGAUGAUAACAAACAUGUGUAUUAAGUGAUUUAAUAAAUAUUGUAUUUCACAUUUUCACUAGUUUUUGAAGGGUAAUAUUUAUGCAAGUGAAUCAAGUGAAAUCAAGUUCAAGACACUCAACGGACAAUAGCAAAAUCAAGAAUAAAGUUUAAAGCUCAACGGACAAAUUAUUGCGAUAAAUUCUUGUAAAGCUGGUAUGAUUUAAUUGAUGCAUGAUUUAGCAUUUGAGAAGCUCAAGAGAUUAAUUUAAUUAAUUACUUUUCAUAAGCUAAAAGGUUUUAUUUUUAUAACAUAAAGUAUUUUGUGGUUUUGAGUAUUUUGGACUUAAAUGGAAAGUUUUGCAAUCUUUGUUUUUAAUAAGUAUUAUCUUGAAUUCCGGAGUUGGACCUUUUUGCAAAUAUGAGAAAUAUUUUAGGCCAUACUAUAAUUUAUGAACAUUUUGGACUAAAGUGAAAAGUUGUGAGAACUUUGAAAAAUAUGGGUAUUAUGUUAAAUUUUGAAAAAGGAUCUCUUUGAGAAAUAGUAAUAUAUUUGGGGCCAUAGCAUAAUUUCAAAAAGUUUUGGAAAGACUACUAUUAUUAAGAAAUUCUGAAAUUGGACCUAUUUGUAAAGUUCUAUGACGUUUUGGGCUAUAGUAGAAUUAUAGAAAGUUUUAGGCCAAAGUGUAAUUUUAGUGAACAUUAUUACUGUAACAAAAUUCAAAAAUAACGGUAAUAUCACCGUUACAAGCGACUAACCGCUUGGUCGCUGGAAUUUGCUUAUGACGGCUAGUUUCGGGUUUUAACCAUAAAAACUCAAUUUCAACUUCAUUUUAAGAAUUAAUGCAAGCAAAAAUAAGAUCAUAUAACAUAUAUUGAGCUUCCAAAACGCAAAUCAUCAUAGAUUGAAUCAUUGUUGAGCUAUUAUUUGCAUAUCCACUCUUAAAGAGAGUUUUUGUUGUAAUUUUCAUUUCUUAUCAAAUUGUGAGUGUACAAGUGUGAGAAACACUUGGGGUGAAGAGAUUGGGAAGAUAAUCUCUUGAUUGUAAAGGUUCAUUUACACCUUGGAAGUCAAUUGUAAGAACUUGAAGCCUUGGGAGGCUUGGAUAGUGAAAUCUUCGAGCUUGGUUGGCUUGGAGACGUGGACGUAGGCGGGGAUUACCGAACCAUGUAAAAAUCCGUGUGUUUGUUUUUCUCUUCCCUUACUCUUUUAUUUUUAUGCUUGUUUGAAUUUUUUUCUUUUUUAUUCCAUUUAGGUGUUAGAUUAAUUUGUUGUGCGAAUUGUAUUGCAUAAUUUUUAAAAACUCAAUUCACCCCCCUCUUGGGUUGCGUAACUUGCAUUUCACAUCCUUGCUCUUGAACAUAUAUACUGAAAUCAUCUUUGAAAAAAGUCAUUAAUGAGAGAUAAGAAGCACUUUGCCCUAUGUCAAGAAGCUUUCAAUGUUGGUUCCUUUGAUACAUAAACACCAUAACUAAAUUUAACUCUUGAAGACUUGACGAGGACACAUUUUUUAUAGAAUCUCUUGGUCUCCAUCUUAUCAUUUCUUAAAACCCCCUGUUUUGACAUCUCUUUAAACCAAUUUCACUCAUAUAGCCUAAUCUCAAAUGCCACAAUAUUGUUUUAUCUAAAUUCUGGUUUGACACAUCACCAUCACUUGUAACAACUGACCCCUGAAAGACAUAUAGGCCAUUGUUCAUAUCUCCCUUCAUUAACACUAUUGACCCUUUUAUUACCUUUAAGGUGUCAGAUUCAAACUUAACUGAACAUCCCAUUUUAUCGAGCAUACUAAGAGGGAUAAGGUUUUUUUUUUUUUUUUUUUCAGUUCAGGCAUAUGUCUAACAUCCUUCAAUUGCUUAAUCAUGCCAUCAAACAUUUUUAGCCUGAUUAUGCCUUUAUUAACUACCUUAUAGCUAGUAUCAUUACCUAUUACAUGUACCCCACCAUCAAAGGCUUCAUAGCUCAUGAAAAAACUCUUAUUAGGGCACAUAUGAAAUGAACAACCAGGAUCUAGAAUCUAAUUACUUCUAGUUUGGCCCUUUGUAGUUAUAAGAACUCCAGUUGAGUCAUAGCCAUUAUAUUAUUAACCCUUUGAUGCCUAGUAGCAUUAUCACUCUUUUCCUUUAAGUCUUUGUUCUUGUUUUUCCUCUUAGGGAAGUCUUUCUUGAAAUGACUUCUUUGUGGCAUUGGAAGCAUUUCAAGUUCUUUGGUCCAGAUUUUGAUCUUUUUUUUCUUCCCUUUGCCACUUUCUCUAUUUUCUAUUCUCUCUUUUGCUGUCAAGCCUUCUCCAUCUCUAGAUUCUUUUUUCCUGCAGCCUUAGAACUCAGAGUUUCUUUGACAUCCACUAUGGUAAGGUUUUGUUCCCCAUACAUCAGGUCAACAAGAUGCUUAUAAGAGCUUGGCAACGAACACAACAAGAUCAUGGCUUUAUCUUCAUCAUCAAUUUUCACAUUAAUGUUUUCAAAAUCUAGUGUAAUCUUAUUGAAAGCGUAAUAACUCUAUGAAAUGAGAGUUAUCAUGACACUUUUAAACUUAAAUCAUGAUUACUUAGAGAGUAAAGGAUAUGUUUUAGCAUAGGAAUAGAAUUGAUGUUUGCAGUAAUAUCAGUAGUAGACAUAACUGAACUUAGAACAAUAAACAAACAAAACAAGCUCAUAUUAGUCUUAAAACAAAAAUAGAUUCAAAUAAAGGUAAACCCUAUCUCAAGAUACCAGACUCUCCAUUAAUAUUCCAUCUUUGGACAAAAUAGUUUGUAAGUGAUAUCUUGGUAUAGUAAUCAAACACUAAUAAUAAGAACAUGUCAAACAAUAAAUUUUCCUUUAGGCUGAUUUAUUAUUCACAUUUAAAAUCAAAUAAUCAUCAUGUGUUUAUUACCACAUAUGCACAUGCAAUUCUGUUAAAUAUGGACCUUCCUUUGGGUUGAUCGAUAUUUACAGAAAUUACAUAUACAGAACCAUUUAUAUUCUAAAAUAGAUUAGUUUCCACAAGAGAGGUUACUUUGGCGACAUGUUGCCUCAAUUAAUUUAAGCCAAAAAUUGAAAAUUUUCUGCCUAUUUCAUGUUGGACGUCCAUAUUGCAUGUUUCAUCUCAGUUCUUGCAUGUUGAACCCCUUAAUAUAUGCACCAAAUUAACAGACAUAUGUAAUAAAUUUUAGGUGAUGUUUGGUUUGAAAAAAAGGAAGGAGAGGAGAGAAGUGAAAUGAAAGGGAAGGGGGAAGAAAGGAGAGGAGGAGGAGAAUGAUGAAACUAAAUUGCAUUACUUGGUUAUACACACACAAAAAAAAAAAAAAAAAAAAAUGUGAGUAAGCCGAAAUCAAAUGCACUGGCUAACUUAAUCUUCGUAGUUAGUGUACAAGUAAUACUGGUGUUGCUGCGGUUUAAUUUAGUUAGAUCUGCAAAACAAGUGGUCGGGUGUUUUUAGAUAGUCGGGUGCUUAGACACAGUUUCUUCUUAGUGUUUGCAUUUUUUGAGAAUACUAAUUCUUCUUCCUCUUUCUUUAUUUUGGGUUAUUUUAUGUCAUUUUGAUUGAAUCAUGACUAAAGAGCUACUAGAGAUUCAACCAUUUGAACCCACAUUUAGACUUUAUAUUCCCGCAUCAUUUGUUUCCCCUUUUUUAAUUUAAAGAUUAUGAUGCAAAGUUUUGUGUUGAUGGUAAUCAUUUUUCUCAAUAUUUUUAAGUGGUCGCAAAUAGUUUGUUUCAAAAGAUCACGAUUGCUUGCAUGGAACUAUUGGGUUGAUUAUUUGAUUGUAACUCUUAAUUAUAAGGGAUAGAUAGGCUUUAGCUCAAUGUGAUAUAAACUAUCAAAAUCUACAAUUAGAAUGGUUCUGCAAGAAACACACUACAUUAACAAGAAUAAGAGGGUCAUUUUUUAGAUACAAACACACAAUAUCCACCCUUCAACCAAUAACAAGAAUAAAAGUCUGAUUACUGUUAUUGUACUUCUAGACAUUUGGGGUCAAAUGUGUACAAGUUGAAUAGCUUUAUGGUAUAAAAUUGCGUAAGCGGCUAACCGUUAAAAAUAGCGGUUAAGCGUGUGGACUCCAGAAAGGAUGUCCAAUUAGCUGGCUAGCUGGCAAAUUUAAACAGUUAACCGCGUGGACUCUAGAAACUCUGCCGCACCCUAGUGGUUUGCUGCUACAGCGAGACCAUCUGUUUCCCCUGAUUCAUCACCUUCUCCCUUCAAUUCAUCAACUUCUCUCUCUAAAAGUUGAAACCGACACCUCUCUCAAUUUAAUCCAUCAUUUUCUUAUGCUUGUCUUACCAAUUGCAUGCUUCCGAACCAUCAAUCAACUCUUCAAUAUCAAUUUUUCAUCAUCUAAACAUCGCUUUUCACUCAAAAUUCCCAAACCCCUAAUUGGUUCACAUAGCUCUAAAAUUUUCAUAUAAUGCAUAAAUCUGUAAUUGUUUUCACAUGACAUUUUCAGUACGCUACAAAAAUCACAAAGGUCAAAAUUACUUCCUCACCUUGUCCUUAAAUCGAAAAUGAAGAAGAAAGAGACGAAGCUGUGUUCAACUUCAACAGCUCAAGAUGACAGCAACUGCUUGAUGGAUUCCACUUGUUGUUUUCUUUGAGCGAGAUGGUGGCUUCGAUUUUGCAUGAUUACUAAACAAUUCGAAGAGAGAAAUUGUAAAGAAAUUUGUGCUUUCAGGGGGAGAUGCGAGAGACUGUGAUUUAAUAAGCAGGUGAGAGAGAAAAUUUAGUUUUUCAAAGUUAGAAAACCGAUUCCUAUUUUUUAUUUUCUUUUUAAUCUCAGUCAUUGGAUUCAUGUUACUUGAAUCCAACGGCUGCAUUUACAAGCCUGCACAAUGCCUGGCCUCAAUGCCCAGCAGUGUUGCUUUAGCCUAACCUCAUAUUCAUGUUAUUUUGUUAAACUUUCUUUUAUUUUUUUCUUCAAAUUCUAAGUCCUCACCUAGUUGUUUAAUCUUUUGAGUCUAAUGGCUUAUCAAAAAUGGUACUGUACUCUGCAGAGACAAGAAAGAAGAUGAAAUGAUCACUGUGACAGAACGUCAAAAAAAUAAAGAAACUGAAGAAGCACAGGGUUCAAAAGUAACUAACACAUUUAAAGAUUUUAGGUUAGAUUAAUUUUUAACUUAGUACCGGUUUCUAUA
rnacentral:lncRNA from 1 species